GAUGAAGAACGCAGCGAAAUGCGAUACGUAAUGUGAAUUGCAGAAUUCAGUGAAUCAUCGAGUCUUUGAACGCACAUUGCGCCCUCUGGUAUUCCGGAGGGCAUGCCUGUCCGAGCGUCAUUGCUGCCCUCAAGCACGGCUUGUGUGUUGGGCCCCGCCCCCCGAUCCCGGGGGGUGGGCCCGAAAGGCAGCGGCGGCACCGCGUCCGGUCCUCGAGCGUAUGGGGCUUUGUCACCCGCUCUGUAGGCCCGGCCGGCGCUUGCCGAUCAACCAAACUUUUUUCCAGGUUGACCUCGGAUCAGGUAGGGAUACCCGCUGAACUUAAGCAUAUCAAUAAGCGGAGGA
rnacentral:misc_RNA from 1 species